UACGAAGGGGGCUGGCGUUGCUCGGAAUCACUGGGCGUAAAGGGCGCGUAGGCGGCGUUUUAAGUCGGGGGUGAAAGCCUGUGGCUCAACCACAGAAUGGCCUUCGAUACUGGGACGCUUGGGUAUGGUAGAGGUUGGUGGAACUGCGAGUGUAGAGGUGAAAUUCGUAGAUAUUCGCAAGAACACCGGUGGCGAAGGCGGCCAACUGGACCAUUACUGACGCUGAGGCGCGAAAGCGUGGGGAGCAAACAGG
rnacentral:rRNA from 1 species